rnacentral:lncRNA from 1 species
UAUAAUGAAACUUCCAUUAUUAAUGGAUAAGAGGAAACAGUAGAUCAUUAAACCCAACCCCUUGGAUCGGUUUUCCACAUAAAAAGUUCCAUGCUACAGAGACUUUAUUAUUCUACCUUUACUAUAAACAUCAGAUGAUGGAUGUGUAGUAAUUUUAGUAAAAGAAGACAGUUAGUGGAGAAGAACUAAAAGUGAUCUUCCGAGAUAGUUGGAGAGAUGUCCAUAAACAAAACAGCAGCCACGAGCUUCAUCAAUCAGUUCCAUUUAAUUAAUGCAGGGAAGAGAUUACAGUGUUUGUAAC